AUUGAACGCUGGCGGCAGGCCUAACACAUGCAAGUCGAGCGGAUGAAGGGAGCUUGCUCCUGGAUUCAGCGGCGGACGGGUGAGUAAUGCCUAGGAAUCUGCCUGGUAGUGGGGGAUAACGUCCGGAAACGGGCGCUAAUACCGCAUACGUCCUGAGGGAGAAAGUGGGGGAUCUUCGGACCUCACGCUAUCAGAUGAGCCUAGGUCGGAUUAGCUAGUUGGUGGGGUAAAGGCCUACCAAGGCGACGAUCCGUAACUGGUCUGAGAGGAUGAUCAGUCACACUGGAACUGAGAACCGGUCCAGACUCCUACGGGAGGCAGCAGUGGGGAAUAUUGGACAAUGGGCGAAAGCCUGAUCCAGCCAUGCCGCGUGUGUGAAGAAGGUCUUCGGAUUGUAAAGCACUUUAAGUUGGGAGGAAGGGCAGUAAGUUAAUACCUUGCUGUUUUGACGUUACCAACAGAAUAAGCACCGGCUAACUUCGUG
rnacentral:rRNA from 1 species